rnacentral:rRNA from 1 species
UACGGAGGGUGCAAGCGUUAUCCGGAUUUACUGGGUUUAAAGGGUGUGUAGGCGGGCUUUUAAGUCAGUGGUGAAAUCUCCGGGCUCAACCCGGAAACUGCCGUUGAUACUAUUAGUCUUGAAUUCUGUUGAGGUAGGCGGAAUAAGUCAUGUAGCGGUGAAAUGCAUAGAUAUGACUUAGAACACCAAUUGCGAAGGCAGCUUGCUAAACAGAUAUUGACGCUGAGGCACGAAAGCGUGGGGAUCAAACAGG